GGAAAAGUGGCUGAGUGGCUGAAGGCACCGGUCUUGAAAACCGGCAUAUGAUAAUAUCAUAUCAGAGGUUCGAAUCCUCUUUUUUCCG
rnacentral:tRNA from 1 species